CACCAGACUCCUACGGGAGGCAGCAGUGGGGAAUAUUGCACAAUGGGGGAAACCCUGAUGCAGCGACGCCGCGUGAGCGAUGAAGUAUUUCGGUAUGUAAAGCUCUAUCAGCAGGGAAGAAGAUGACGGUACCUGACUAAGAAGCCCCGGCUAACUACGUGCCAGCAGCCGCGGUAAUACGUAGGGGGCAAGCGUUAUCCGGAUUUACUGGGUGUAAAGGGAGCGUAGACGGCGAUGCAAGCCAGAUGUGAAAGCCCGGGGCUCAACCCCGGGACUGCAUUUGGAACUGUGUGGCUGGAGUGUCGGAGAGGCAGGCGGAAUUCCUAGUGUAGCGGUGAAAUGCGUAGAUAUUAGGAGGAACACCAGUGGCGAAGGCGGCCUGCUGGACGAUGACUGACGUUGAGGCUCGAAAGCGUGGGGAGCAAACAGGAUUAGAUACCCCCGUAC
rnacentral:rRNA from 1 species